UACGGAAGGCAGCAGUGGGGAAUAUUGCACAAUGGGCGAAAGCCUGAUGCAGCUAUGCCGCGUGUAUGAAGAAGGCCUUAGGGUUGUAAAGUACUUUCAUCGGGGAAGAAAAAACAAAACUAAUAAUUUUAUUUCUUGACGUUACCCGAAAAAGAAGCACCGGCUAACUCCGUGCCAGCAGCCGCGGUAAUACGGAGGGUGCUAGCGUUAAUCAGAAUUACUGGGCGUAAAGAGCACGUAGGUGGUUUUUUUAAGUCAGAUGUGAAAUCCCUGGGCUUAACCUAGGAACUGCAUUUUGAAACUGAAAUACUAGAGUAUCGUAGAGGGAGGUAGAAUUCUAGGUGUAGCGGUGAAAUGCGUAGAUAUCUGGAGGAAUACCUGUGGCGAAAGCGGCCUCCUAAACGAAUACUGACACUGAGGUGCGAAAGCGUGGGGAGCAAACAGGGAUUAGAUACC
rnacentral:rRNA from 1 species